AUUGAACGCUGGCGGCAGGCUUAACACAUGCAAGUCGAGCGGGGGAAGGUAGCUUGCUACCGGACCUAGCGGCGGACGGGUGAGUAAUGCUUAGGAAUCUGCCUAUUAGUGGGGGACAACAUCUCGAAAGGGAUGCUAAUACCGCAUACGUCCUACGGGAGAAAGCGGGGGAUCUUCGGACCUUGCGCUAAUAGAUGAGCCUAAGUCGGAUUAGCUAGUUGGUGGGGUAAAGGCCUACCAAGGCGACGAUCUGUAGCGGGUCUGAGAGGAUGGGCCGCCACACUGGGACUGAGACACGGCCCAGACUCCUACGGGGGGCAGCAGUGGGGAAUAUUGGACAAUGGGGGGAACCCUGAUCCAGCCAUGCCGCGUGUGUGAAGAAGGCCUUAUGGUUGUAAAGCACUUUAAGCGAGGAGGAGGCUACUCUAGUUAAUACCUAGGGAUAGUGGACGUUACUCGCAGAAUAAGCACCGGCUAACUCUGUGCCAGCCGCCGCCGUAAAAC
rnacentral:rRNA from 1 species